AAAUGAAUUCAAAUGUCUGGUAAUUCAAUUUAUCCAAGCUUGAAAGGAGUGAAACAAUAAAUUUCGGAGUUAAAGCUCCCCCUUUCAUUUGGAAUUAUAUAAGCCUUCAUAUUAUGCAUUCAAUUGUUUGGCUUAUAUAUAAUUAAUGAUUUAGCUUUCUUAAAAUUUCAGAUUCUCCCCCUCAACAUAUGCAUUCUACUUUGUUUUGAUUCUUUGAAUUUCCUUUUAAUGCUUUGAAGUUUUUGAACUGAAAUUUUGGUUUUUAUAGGAAAAAUCUGUCAAUUUGUUCUUGAGUAGGAUUCAGCUAAUCUCCGAAUAUCCCUUGAAUAGGUUCUGGAGAUUACUCCAUUAGGAGCCCCAAAAGAGAGAUAAUGAGCCUCGAGGUACCGAAUCCACUUAGAACAAAUUUGUGUGUUUUAAGAGUUUAUCUUUUUAUUGAUUUCCAUUGAUUCCUUUUACAUAUUUUAUACAUAUUUCUCCCCCUUUUUGUCACCAUAUCAAAAAGGAGGUAAACAGAACACACAAUCAAACAUAGAUCAAAAGGCACAUUAUUGAAGAAAAAUGCGGCUACUCAUUGUAUUAAUUUGUAUGUAAGUACAUUUCAGAAUACAAUAAGUAACGUAAAGCAAUACAUGUCAAAGCAAAAUACAAAAAGUAGCUAUGGUCUCCUCGAGGAUGUA
rnacentral:lncRNA from 1 species